rnacentral:antisense_RNA from 1 species
AAUAAUGAAUAUCCAUAAUUGAAAACUGAGGUUACCUUAUACUUUGCUUUGUUCUCUCUGCCAGAGUCCUACCCACUGUAUUAGUUGUUAGAGUUGUGGAACUUAACUGAAGCUUUCUCUGGAUUCCAGAUGUUUUAAGAAUAUUUUCAGCUGCAUGGCUUGACAGCCUUGGGAUUCCCUCACACAUUCACAGUCUUUUUUGGAUCAGUCUGAUGUGAGCAUGAAAACUGGGAGUUGUGGAGCCCACUUAGGAAAUGAUUGCAAUUGUCCAGGAGACAGAUGAUGGUAAUUAAGUUUCCAUCAGCCUGGAACUCAGGGGACAGAAGAUACAUAUUCUGUAUGUAGAGAAUCACUGGAGGUCAAAUGUCUUUGCCAAUUUGAGUUUUUCCACUUGAACAAGAAAAGACUGUCAAGGGAAAGCCAAUCAAUUUCACAAUGUUUAGGGCAUGGAAACAAGAUCAAGAAAGGUGUUUUUCUGGAGACUUUCCAAUCAAAGCAAUGAAGAUUUAAAGUGGAAUAAAAGGAUUGGGCAACAAAUAAAUUG